ACUAAUGUAAACAUAUUAAUUAGCUCUGCUAUUGCGGAAAGAUCACAACUACAUAACUUGUUUGAUUUUUACCCCUUUCUGUUUGGCUCCACAGAUGUCCAUUUUAUGAGUUACGUGCCCUGCCAGGUGAACCACAGAACCAUUCACAGCAGCAAAAUUGAGGAGUGUACAUUUAUGAUUCUGGUUCAUCAUUCUGGAAUUGAGGGUACAAAGGAUCCCACCCUGUAAACAUGCUUCAUUUCCUCUUCAUCUGUCAGUGCAGUUACAGAACCAAAUGUUGUUCUCUGCACAUGACUGGUUAUUAGCUUUAGAAGUUGGUGGUUUCUUGUUUUGGUAUUCAUUUUUUAGUGAGUUGACAGCUUCUGUUCACUGACUUUGUUGCUUUAAUGGUAUGCAUUAAGAACAAAACAAGCUUCACAAAAUGCUCUUCUUUGCCCAUAAUGUUUUUCAGAACAUCCAGACGCUGUCUGACAUGUUUGCUUGGUGUGUAUAUACACAUUCAGUCUGUGAUGGUAAGGCAUAUGGGGUGUUUGCCUCUUGCAUCAAACUUUCCUUUUGGAGGAAGACUUGGAGUCGGAGGAUCUAUGAGAGAUCUCCAUGUAAGGAAUUCUCUGCUUUUGAGCAUGUCUGAUGGAAAGUUUGACUUCUGAAACCAUGAACUUGUCUUGGGAGCCUUCUGGAGUAGAGUCUUAAGAUCCAGUGACUUCAGAUCCAGCUCCAGGAAGGAGAGCAGCUGAAUUCUUUAAGGCUAGGAUCUGCCAGCUUCUGAAAAGGCACAGUCACUCUCCUAGGUCAACAAAAAACUAUCUAUUUAUUUAUUUAUUUAUUUAUUUAUUUAUUUAUUUAUUUUAGAAGUUGAAUUAGGUGUCUGAUCUGAAAGUCGAUUCUGAUUGUAUUUUUGUGUAGGUGACAUCCUUAAAUCCUUGGAAUGCCGAAUGAGAAUAGGGAUCUUCUUGGAUCUGAAACGGUCAGAUCCUUAGUCUGCACUGGUGGGAGCUUUGGGACUGCUUUCUCACCAAAUGCCCUCUUUGAAGUCUUUGUGUUAUGAAUGGACUUGUAUCCUUAUUCUGUUCCACUCUCCUAUCACUUUCAAAUCUCUGGCUUCUUUAUCUCCCAGAGCUGUCACCAGAGAGAAACGUCUCUGGAGACUAUAUCCAUCAAGAUCAAUUUUGUGAGAAAGAGAAGCGAGUCAGGAGUUCCUGGUCCUUCAGCACCAGCUGAUUUACUGAAGCUUUUCAGUCUGUUCCUUUUGCUGGUUACUGGCUUUCAGCUCCACUCAGGAUGUCUUUUAUCUCAAAACAAUAGAAGUAUAUCGUAUGGGUAAUACAACAUGGAGGACACCAUUUUGAAGAGCAAAAUAACAUCCUCCACCCACUACACAUCGCUGUGACCCCAUCUGCUGAUUGUGUGACCCACUUGGGGUGUCAGCCUGACGUUUGCGAACAGCUGCCUUAGGAGUUUAGUCUCUGUGGACUCCAGCUCUUUUUCAGCUUCUAGUUCUUUUGGAAGCGCUUCAGCUAAAAAUAUAGGAGCGCAAGUAGUCCUGUGGUCUGGAGAAGUCUCUGUAAUGAAGUGCAUUUUAUUCCAUCCAGUGGAGGAUUCACAGUAACUGGACUAGUUUGUAAGUAUCUUUAUCCAGCACUAUCAUCAGACGACGUCUCACGGCUGUGCAGCGUUUCAGUGUGGCAAUGUAUUUGAACAGAUAUGAGGAUUUGUCACUCAGUCAUACAAGAAAAGUCAGUGGAAAUGGUGCUUUCAGAAUUGGGACUCUUACGUUUACAUCAUGCAGGGGUGAAGACAGCAACCUGAAUUUUAAGAGGGUCAGGCCAACAGGAGCAGCCCCUUAAAUUCAGUGACCUAAGUUGAUCCUUGCCAAUUGGGGGUCAUCUAGACAUGGACUUGUUUAUCACAGAUCUGUAUCAGACUUCUCUCUAAAGCAGACAGGGUCCUCAGCUGUGUGAUGUUUCUUUUACACUGUAGAGGAAAGGACUCUUGUAUGCCUUUCCCCAUCACUUUCUCUGUUACCAAAGGUUCUGCUGCAGGUCAGAGCUCAAGUGAUUUUGAUCUUUGCCCUGGGCUUUGGCUUUUCUUUGGAAUUUACUGUCGGAGAGAGAGGAACUGACUGGAUGGCUAUGGGUGUAUAGACUGUCCCAGAGAGCAGCAUCCAAUGAUUCUGUGUACACCCCUGAAUAGAUUUACUACUUUGAAUGGUUCUGUGGCUCAUGUUCCAGGGCACAUGACUCCAAAGUGUGGAUCUUCAUAGGCAGUAUAUUCUGGGAACUAUAGUAAUUGGGAACUUUUCUUUCUUUCCCCACUGAAUUUCUAAUGGAACUUGAAAUUUAAUAUGACUAUAUUGUAUGCAUGUAUGUUUGCUCAGUUUAUAUUUACAAAGCUUCUUAUACCAAAAAAUACCAUUUUUUUUGGUAUUUUCAAUUAUGCAAAUACAGCUGUGAGUAUUAAUAAAUUGCUGUGUGCCCUUGCAAAACAAUGAGUUAACUAUCAUUGUUGCCAAUAAAUUAAAACAAAAUGUAAGCCAGAGAACUUUCUCAAAUCCAACCAUUCUAAAAGUGCAGUAAUGUGAUUUUGACAUAAAGAUAUUGAGCAUCCUUUUGUUUCUGUAAUGCCUUAGGGGAAUCCAUGAUGCCUGACAGGUAAAGUGAAAACCUAAGUAGUUACUGGAAUCUAGGAACUUUAUAAUCUAAACUGAGAACAAUUGAUUGAUCAGUUAUAACCACAUGUUAAUUUUUCAGGGUUUAGAAUGAUUCAUAAUUAUAUUUUCCUGUAACAGUCUGUAUCUAAACCAGUUUAUUUCUUUUAGAAUUAAAACUUUUAAAUUCUCUUAAAAUACUUUAAAUAUCAUGUGAUACAUUUAGGCUAUUCUUUGACUAAUUUUGAUUUUUAAAACUUUUAAAAAAAUUGUUUUAGAAGUGUUUAUGCUAUUUGUUUUUUAUGGAUCAUGAUGCUAUGAGAAAUAAUUCACAUUGAUGUAGUAGAACAGGAACGGGGCUGUUCUUAAAAGAAAAAUAUGGGAAUAAUCCUGUUUAAACUAUAAUAAUGACUUGCACUUAUUACGAAAAACUGAGGCAAAAACCCAGGCUUUUGUCUAUUCUUGAUUUCUGUUUACUACGCAGAAAGCAUUUUCCAGAACAUUUUCCAGCACUUCACUUAUACUGUAUCUAAAUAUUUCUUUUUAUGGCAGGAAUACAGAAGAAAAAAGAUUAGUCCAAAAAUGAGCUUCCUCAAGUGUGUUUGAUUAAUUUAAAAAAGAAAAUCAAUAUUUAAACCCACUGCCCUCAUAAUACCUUACUAAAUAAUUUCAAGACUAAAAUAUGGUAAAGAAUAGUAGCUCAAAUGUUGGUAACAUUUUAAAUUUAAACUCGGUAUUUAUAUAUUCAGGGAAAUAGUAAUGAAUUCCGUGAAAAAACAAGUGAACAUAAAACAUACUUUCUGAAUGUCAAGUAUGCUUUCCAUUUAUACAAGCAUAUUUGGCCUAAUGCAAGUCUCUCUGUAAACUGAACUGGAGUACUUGUGGCAUCUUAGAGAAUAACAAAUUUAUUAGAGCAUGAGCUUUCGUGGGCUACAGGUCACUUCAUCGGAUGCAUAGAAUGGAACAUAUAGAAGAAUAGAUAGACACACACACGCAUACAGAUAAGUUGGAAGUUGCCAUAUAAACUGUGAGAGGCUAAUUAGUUAAGAUGAGCUAUUAACAGUAAACUGUGAUUCUAAAGAAUAAAGAACAGGCUUUGAGAAUAAUUGAUUCUUCUAAUUAUGGAGACAUUGAUUUUGGUUUCCUAGUUAAGGUUGCAUUAGGAUUUUCCCUUUAAUGGAUCUUUGCAAUUUGGGUGGGGGGGUGCACAAGUUUGGUUUACCAUGGUGGACAAAACCCUUAUUUUUUAUAAAUAUAAUAAUUAAGAAAGCCAAUGGCUAUAUAAAAAGUAGAGAUCCUGUUUUGUUUUUAUAUGUUUUUAUUCAAGGAGCUGAUCCAAGGUAAGGGGCUCUGAAGCCUCAAGUUCAGGGUCCUGUUGGGGAUUUCCCCAAGUGAACAGGAGUCUCACUAGCCAAGAUGGAAGUUAAGAGGGAAAAGGAAUAGAGGAGUAUUAGCUACUACUAGGACACUGAAAGCUAAUAUCGCAGUCCUUCCAAGAUAAUAGAUGCAGCCUCUUUUCUACAGUACCAUAAGUAUUCAUGGUGCCCUACA